GUGUGUGAUUUACCUGAUAUUUUCAUGCGCAAUCAUGCCGUAGACAUAACAGUGGUAAUGAAUAUCGCUGCUACACCAUAAAAGUACACAACGGAACAAUAAGCGUCACAAUUGCUGGAAUGUCAUGUUAGCAAACCCAUUUAGACAAACUAUAAAUUGCAAGAGCAGCUAGUACCCCGGUGGUAGAAUCAUCAUGAUUUCUCAUUCUGUCUAAUUGACAAUUGUUACCAACAGAACGUAAAAGCGUGAUGAUUUUGCCGCCAGGGUAGUAACGGAUCGAAUUUAAAUCACCUUUUUGUUUGAGUUACAAUGAAUUGAAUAAGUGACCAAUUAUCUUAAUUAUGAAUCCUGAUAUUUGUUAAGUUUAAGAUUUUGUCGCGGAAUGUGCAGCUAUAGUGUAACGCAAAUAUGACCGUACAAUUUAGGGAUAUGAAGUAAG